rnacentral:tRNA from 1 species
GAGGGGGCAGACCGAGGGGCCCUGACUCAAGAUCUGCUGCCGCAGGGCUUCGUGGGUUCGAAUCCCACCCCCCGCA